rnacentral:misc_RNA from 1 species
GAGAGUCCAGUAUUCUUUUAAUGGCAAGGAACCAAUUCCCAUUAGAAACUGUAGCCUUAUACGUUGCUCCCAUCUUUCCUAUCCCUAUGAUUUUGUUUUUGCUGAAAUUGUUUGCUGCCAUGCUCAGUUCUUCAAAAUCCAUUCUUGUAACCAAGCUCUCUAACAUAUAAAUCAUUCUUGCUUGCUUGCUGUAGGUGCUUCUCAUUUGUCAAUUUCCUAUUAGCAACAACUUCUCUUUCUUUGUUUCCCUUCCUUUCCAAGUAAACCAAACUUGCCAUAAAAACAAAGGCUAGUAGUGC